rnacentral:rRNA from 1 species
AUUGAACGCUGGCGGCAGGCCUAACACAUGCAAGUCGAACGGUAACAGGAAGCAGCUUGCUGCUUCGCUGACGAGUGGCGGACGGGUGAGUAAUGUCUGGGAAGCUGCCUGAUGGAGGGGAUAACUACUGGAAACGGUAGCUAAUACCGCAUAAUGUCGCAAGACCAAAAGAGGGGGACCUUCGGGCCUCUUGCCAUCGGAUGUGCCCAGAUGGGAUUAGCUUGUUAGUGGGGUAACGGCUCACCAAGGCGACGAUCCCUAGCUGGUCUGAGAGGAUGACCAGCCACACUGGAACUGAGACACGGUCCAGACUCCUACGGGAGGCAGCAGUGGGGAAUAUGCACAAUGGGCGCAAGCCUGAUGCAGCCAUGCCGCGUGUAUGAAGAAGGCCUUC